CUAUGGUCCAAAAUAGCCCGCAAAUAUCCCCCCAGCCAUAUAAACACUGCAACCGAGCGUCUCCUAACCCUAACCUUCGUUCUUUGCCCCACCUCCACUUCUCUUUGCGGCGGCUGCAUCCUCCUCCUCUAGCGCUCAACCACGGGCCACCCUACUCCUCCGGUUAACCAUCUCUGCCUAGCCCCCUUCUCCUCCAACGCCGCACCUCCUCAAGCUCUCCACCCCGUUCUUCUUUCCCAUGGAGACUCAAUGUCGCGGCCCUGACAACGCCAUGACGGGGCGACCCUGUUGACGGCGGAAACAACAUGGAGGCCGGCCACAUGAGAUCGAGGAUGCACUUGGGCGUGGACCUUCUCGACAGCAGCACCAAUGACGGAGUCCAGGAGCCAGCUGAACCCGCCGACGAUUACUACUACCCCGACGGAGCAUACUACUUUCAUGGAGACCCCCGACGACCAGGAGUAGUUAGGAGGCUCCCAGGCAGAAGGCCUGCGCCUUUCGAUCCAGUUGUCGUUGUUUCGCUAGCCUUCUUAAGGAAGACUUGUUUACUUACAUCUAUACUUAGAUAUUGUUGCUUCUGCUGACUUGUGUAUUCAAGCCUUCGUGGCCCUGGCUUAUUAUAUAAAGCUUGUAUUA